CCAUCCCGUGCUGUGGGUUGCCUUCGUGAGGUUCGCACCCCUCCUUCCUGAUGCCCCCCUUCUUCUCCCCCAGCGGCAGUCAUGGUGGCUCGGUGGCAGCCCCGCAGCAUCGAUGGGAGAAAUCCCAUGGGAAUUAUCGAUGGUGAAAGCCUCGUUGCCCAGGCUUCCUGCUUCGAUCUGCCCCACUGUCCUUUCAUGGGCCUCAAUCUGCCCCACAAUAUCAUCAACAAGCCAACGUCAUUAAAGUACAUCACGGCCUCUUUCUGGAGCAAUCGAUCGACCACUCUUCUUCCUGGGAUAAAGUAGCGGCCAAUGGAUCCAUCUGUGAGCGGCCACAGCCGUCGUUCCUUCCGGCAAGGAAAUAUCUUGGUCAUUUUACACUUGCAUUGUACGACAUGGAGGUCAAGAGGAUGUAUCCGCCUCUCCUAGGUCCAGGACAUGCCUAUACACGUAGCAGCAGUGACAGUCCAUCAGUUUCUUUCUUUUCUUCAAGAGGUUCAGUUUAUUUACAUAACUAUUUUUUGUGGCCCUUCUACAAGGAGAUUACAUCUGAGUCUUUUUUUCUUCCAUUGAGGUCUGGUGCUUGGGUAAUAUACGGGUUUAUUGCUUGUGGGGUUAACAUGCUAUAUAAAUUCAGAGCUUUAAACUAAUCUUGUGGUGAGUUCUUAUUGUAGGAUGCUAUUGCGUGGUCUUUUCUGCCCAGGUAACUAGAAUGUUUUCUAUUUUAAUUUAUCUUGAUUACUUGUUGAUGAAGUGAAGUGAUCUAAUCAGACAAUUCAAUUGACCAACGGGACGAUUCCCUCAAGUGAGGAUUUGAGAUGAUAAUUGAGAUGUAGAUGACAAAGGUUUUCACUAGGUAACGGUAUUUUUGUUUAUAAGAGGUAAUGAUAUCAUGCAUUCAUGGACGAAAGUCUGGAUUAAUUAUGCUUAGGAGGCGGCGGUAUAGUGUUGUCUCUUAAUUAAUAUAGGCGGAUGAUGAAUUUGAUCUGCUCCGGUCAGAGUCCGACUGGAUACAUACUAUAAUAUAGCAAUGUGCAAAUACAUGAUUGAUGAUUGUCACUUUAAGUUCUUUCGCGAAGUCCAAUUGAUGAUGAUUAUUACUGCAAGGAUACAACCACAGAGGGAGUAUUAUCGCAGGUCACAGGUCGCGCUCCGGUCAGAGUCCGACUGGAUACAUACUGUAAUAUAGCUCUGAGGACGGCUGGAUCAGUCAAAGAGAAAAUAUGCAGAUUUUGCCUCUAGGAUGUAUCGUGCCGAUGCAAUUACUGGGAAGUUCUUGUGGGAAUUGCACACAUCUAGGGAUAUAGGGAUCAAGACGUUGUAAAACUCACAUGAGUUGGACUUAUUUUGUUCUUGAGCGUGAGGUACUUCUCCACAAAUCAGUACAUAGCUAUACCUCAACUUACUGUCUUUUCCCUUUGCAUAAACUACUUGAAUUAUCAGAAAUAAUGUAAUGUCCUUUCUCUGGUAACAAAUAUGGUGUAAUAUAUAUUUGCUGUACUACUACUUAGUUAGCGCCGUUCUCUUCUUUGUAUCAUCGUAAUGUCACUACUCACUCUAUCUUUGUAAGCUAUACGAAUAGUCGAUUUGGUAACUAUACUACCAUUUUUCUACAAAAAUAAGAACUUAAUCAACUUGGUGCAUAUGUAGCUUUCAGAGAAAGCCAGCUAGAUUAAAGAAUGUCUAGAUAUUGCUAGCACUACUCUGUAACCUGCGAUAUUCUUAUUCAGGAACAUUCAUGUGUGUGAUACUGUGGUUCAGUUCAGGGUUUACAUUGUUCUUUUUACGAAGUACUUAAGUUAAAAGCUGCAAUAAAAUUCCCUAUUUCUCUAUGGAUGUCGCUUCAGAAUGUGUGUUUCAGCGAACCUGAACUAUUUUGGAUUGUUUUGUGAAAUCAUGAACUCUUAGUGUACAAGUGCAAAUAUAAUCAGUGCCAUUGAAUUGCAGGCCAUUCUAUCUUUGCAUUUCAACUAGGAGCUCUCUUUGUCUGGUGACAACUACUAUUUAUUUAUUUAUUUAUUUAUUUUAAUAAGGCACCUCACUUUCAGCUACAUAUCAAAUUUUCGCUCAUAUUGUUUGAGUGUUUUACCAAUUGGCCCGAUUUCAUAUUGAGAUAUAUACAAACAAGAUCCUUAUGAGAUCAAGUUUCUUAUUUUUAUAAGUCUAAAAAUAAGCAGUUUCUUUACUGAAUAAGGUGAUGUAGAAGCUCUGGCAGGAGUUGUGUUUGCCCAAGUAAUUAAUACAAAAAGGUACUGACCAAGUUGUGUUCAAGCACAAUUUUUUGAAAAAAAAGUAAACAAACAUUUACCACUUGGAAAUAUCCAACAAGUAAUGUAUUAUCAUUGUCUAAAUAGCAACAUGAGUCAUCAGUACCGUUCCUGGUGGGAUUUUAGGCUUGCAUCCUUGUUCUUUCCUUACAAAGUAUAUUGACCUGUUAUUCUUUUCUUCCAAGGUCAUUGAUCUGUUUUCAUGCAUACUAAAUGGCAUCUUGUGUGACAAGUAUGAUGCUUCUAGGCAUGCUUCCUGCAGAAACUAUUAUGUUUCGCAAGAACCUCUCAGUAUUUUGUUAUUUAUCAUGGGAUUUAUAUGUCCUCUUUCAUGGAAAAGCACAUAGGGAACUUAACUACACCCUCUUAUCUGCGACAAGUAAUUUGGAUUGGAGGGAGUACAUAUUUCUCUUUGAUGUGCAUUUAUACACCUCUAAAGUUUUUAUUCACAUGACACAUGCUUAUAGGUUUUGCUUAUUGAAUUAUCAUCUUGUAAUACUUUGACUUAUGUGAGGUCACCAAUUAACUUAUGCUAAACAU